GCCCUUAGAGUCCUCAGCACGGGCGCCUCAGAUCACCAGGACAAAGACCUAGAGAGAGGUCCCUCGGCCAGACUUGGAUCUUUGGACUUCAGGUCUGUGUUCUUCCAAGACCAAGAAAAAGGUGCAAAACGGGGGUCUGUGAGGCUCGGGUUGUUUUCUGCGGUCAGUGGUGGCUUAAGGGAUUGUUCAGUCUUUCUUGACCCACCGCCGUGAGCCCUUAGUGUGACUGGAGCUGCUAUUGAUCCUCCCAGGUACUUGUCAGCACCAUCUCAUUUAAUCUGAUCUACGACGCCACGAGACAGGUUCCGUUAUUAAUCCCAU
rnacentral:lncRNA from 1 species